ensembl:snoRNA LOC120099068 small nucleolar RNA SNORA24
CUUCAGGUAUCUUUGUGACAUGUCAGGUGUGGUGACCCCACUUCAUACCACGGAAGAACAUGUUCCUGUUUGUGCAAUGUUAUCACCAGUUAAUGAGGUGUCUGAUUCUGAUUCACGUAGAUAACAUUC